rnacentral:rRNA from 1 species
UACGGGGGGGGCAAGCGGUUGUUCGGAAUUACUGGGCGUAAAGGGCUCGUAGGCGGCCAACUAAGUCAGACGUGAAAUCCCUCGGCUUAACCGGGGAACUGCGUCUGAUACUGGAUGGCUUGAGGUUGGGAGAGGGAUGCGGAAUUCCAGGUGUAGCGGUGAAAUGCGUAGAUAUCUGGAGGAACACCGGUGGCGAAGGCGGCAUCCUGGACCAAUUCUGACGCUGAGUGAGCGAAAGCCAGGGGAGCAAACGGGG